rfam:Asian citrus Psyllid, Diaphorina citri - Florida Strain, whole genome shotgun sequence.
AUUUGGAAUGAUAGCAUGUUGCAUGCACUAGUUCCCCACGGAUCACUGAAGUUAGGUAACGUUGCGCGUGGUUAGUACCUGGAUGGUGACCAUCUGACCCCUAUACCUACCUAGUA